UCCUGGGGCAAUCGGGAGAACGUUGGUUGCUCACAGCUCCGCACCCAAACCUUGAUUGCUAUUAGUCAGCAUUUACUGUGAACUGGGCACUAGGCGGGCUUUGGUUUGAUCUAAUCUUCAAACCAAAUUAUGAGGUAAGUACCCUUGAAGAAACUUUAAUCUCGGGUUAAGCGACCUGUCCAAGACCACACAACUAGCAAAUGGUAAAGAUCUGAACCCAGAUCUGCCACUUAACUAGCUGUGGCAAGGUAGCUAGGCUUUCCUAACUGUUUCCUCGUUGGUAAAAUAUUAAGGAUGUGAGGAUUAAAUGAGAUGAUGUGUGUAAAGUAUUUAACACAGCACCUGACUCAGACUAAAUGUUCCUUUAAUAACAGCUCAAUCUAUUCCUAUGCUGUUGUUAACCUUGGUUCCCACCAGUUUCCAUUUCUUCUGCAUAAUGGCAGAGAUCCAUCCGUUUUAUGAAGUCCCCUAUCUGUUUUGGGGUGGGUAGAAGGGUACAAAAGCUAUUGUCAAUUAGCCAAAGAUUCAAAAGAACACUUAAAAGCGUUUAUCAUGAAAGGCUGGAAGGCAGAAUUAGGGAUAAUGGAUUGAGGGUCUAAAAAAGCAGAAUAUGACUCAAAAACAAGGAAUU